ensembl:lncRNA
GGUGGGGGGGCAGCGCGGGUGGGCUGCGGGUCUAGAGGGGCCUGAACCCCGGUGCCAAACUGGUCAGAACUGGGGGCUCAAAGCCAACGGUGAGACACGCAGAGCGGGCGGGAGGGGAGCAGCACGUGGGGUACGCGCGGCGGUGCGCUGCUGUUGUGGAAUGAUGUGGGUUUGGUUGGAAGGGUCCUUAAAGGUCAUAGAGCCAUGGGAUGGUUGGGUUGGAAGGGCCCUUAAAGAUCAUAGAGCCGUGGGAUAGUUGGGUUGGAACGGUCCUUAAAGACCAUAGAACUAUGGCAUCGCUGGUUUGGAAGGGUCCUUAAAGAUCACAGAACCACAGGAUGGUUCAGCUGGAAGGGUCCUUAAAGGUCAUAGUACCACGGGAUGUUUGGGUUGGAAGGGUCCUUAAAGGUCAUAGAGCCGUGGGAUGGUUGGGUUGGAAGGGUCCUUAAAGAUCAUAGAGCCGUGGAAUAGUUGGGUUGGAAGGGUCCUUAAAGACUAUAGAACUAUGGCAUCGCUGGUUUGGAAGGGUCCUUAAAGGUCAUAGAGCCAUGGGAUGGUUGGGUUGGAAGGGUCCUUAAAGGUCAUAGUACCAUGGGAUGGUUGGGUUGGAAGGGUCCUUAAAGAUCAUAUAGCCAAAGAGUGGUUGGGACGGAAGGGUCCUUAAAGAUUGAAGAACCACUGAAAGGGUUGGGUUGCUAGGGUCCUUAAAGAUCAAAGAACCACAACACGGGUGCUGGGCUCUGGGUGCCGAUCCGCUUUGUUUCUGGAGGUCACUGCUGCGUUGUAUCCGGCGCGGUGCGUCCCGUCGGCUCCAUCGCGGCGUGGCCAUGCCGCGGCCGUAAUGCGCUUGUUCCUCCUGCAGCCAACAGACACACGGACAUCGGUGACAUCAGCCAGCACCUGGAUACCAUGCAGCUCGGCGAUGUUUUUGGUCACCCGGCGGCACCCGCCGCCGCUUCUCUGCCCUCCCCGGUGCCGGUAAGUGCCACCACAUCCCCCAUUAUCCCCAGGGGCCGUGGCGGUGAUGGGUGCCUCCGGGCGACGCUCCCCGCUCCCCAUCUCCUUUCCCCCCGUCGUCCAUCCGUCUGUGCACGUCGCAGGCGGGCUGGUCGUGUCCGAAAUGCACCUACAUCAACAAACCCACGCGGCCCGGCUGCGAGAUGUGCAGCACCGACCGCCCUCCCGACUACGUGGUGCCCGGCGGCUACGAACCGGACGAGAUGGAGCUGUGGAGGAUGCAGCAGGAGCAGGAGGGGAUGCUGCAGUACCAGCAGACGCUGGAGGCGGAGCGGCUGCAGAACUUCCAACAGCUGCUGCAGCUGGAGCAGGAGGGGCUGGUGCCCAACCAGGAGGCGAUGGAGUGCCGCAUCUGCUACCAGCACCUCCCCCCGGGCCAGGGGGUGCUGCUGCGCGAGUGUCUGCACAGCUUCUGCCGGUACGGCGCAUGGGAGGUGCGGGGAGCCCGACCCCGAACCCCCACCCGCGGUGACGGCGCCUCUCCCGCAGGGACUGCUUGCGCCAGGUGAUCAACUACAGCGAGGAGCCGGCGGUGGCGUGCCCCUACCGCGACGACUCCUACGCCUGCAGCAGCCACCUCCAGGAGCGCGAGAUCCGCGCGGUCAGUGCCCAGAGCUCGGCCAGCGGGGCGAGGGAGGGGCUGCUUGGCCAGCGGUUGACCAGUGGUUGACCAGUGGUUGACCGUGAGCCAGCAGUCACCCAACCAUUGGCCAGCAGUUGACCAGUUUGUCACCAAUGGUUGAUCAGUUUGUCACCAAGGGUUGACCAACAGUUGGCCAACAGUUGACCGUGAGCCAGCAGUCACCCAACCGUUGACCAGUGGUUCACCAAUGGUUCACCAGUGGUUGACCAGUGGUUCGACAAUGGUUGACCAACUGUUGGCCAACAGUUGACCAUGAACAAGCAGCCAACCAACCAUUGGCCAGGGGCUGACUAGUGGUUCACCAGUGGUUGACCAGUUUGUUGCCAGCGGUUGACCUA